rnacentral:rRNA from 1 species
CGGCGUGGAUAAGACAUGCAAGUCGAACGCGACUUAUUUUGUUAGCAAUAACGAAGUAAGUUGAGUGGCGAAAGGGUGCGUAACACGUGGGAAUUUACCAAGAAGUGGGGAAUAGCUCGACGAAAGUCGAAUUAAUACCGCAUAUGAUCGAAAGAUCAAAGUCGGGGACCGCAAGGCCUGACGCUUUUUGAGAAGCCCGCGGCCCAUCAGCUAGUUGGCGAGGUAAAAGCUCACCAAGGCUAUGACGGGUAGCUGGUCUGAGAGGACGACCAGCCACACUGGAACUGAGACACGGUCCAGACACCUACGGGUGGCAGCAGUCGAGAAUUUUUCACAAUGGACGAAAGUCUGAUGGAGCGACGCCGCGUGGAGGAUGAAGGUUUUCGGAUUGUAAAAUCGUGUCACUGCAGAACAAGGGUGCGCAUGUUAAUAG